AAUCACCAAAACCCUUUUCUUUGAUCCCUAUUGUGGUCAGGAAAAGGAUUUUUGGACUUGGAGGUUUCAUGCUUGCUUUUGCUUUCAAAAGUGAGCUCCUCUCAAAUGAAUUAGUGGGGUCUGCUUUGCUGGUCCUUGACGUGAUAAGAUGUUUCAACGUUUUGGAUUUGGCACUGUCCCUUGGAUGCCUGCUUUUAACUGUCUCUCGAGACAAUGAUGGUGCUUCGGUCACCGGCCAAUCUACAUUGGCGGGGAGGCUGGACCCACAAAAAGAAAAGA
rnacentral:misc_RNA from 1 species